rnacentral:lncRNA from 1 species
CAGCACUUUUUGUGCUGACAUGAAUUAUCAUUGAUAUGGUUAUAUUUAUAAAUUUAUUGUUUACAAAUUUUUGAAUUUUUUGAAAUACUAAGGCUUUUCUACCUCAGGCAUGGAUUACCUGAGCUGUAUUCGGCAAAACUUUUAGUAAUUUUGGUUCUCAAUGCACUUCAAAUUCGUACUUUAUUUGGUCUUUUUAACUUUUUUGGAUUCGAGCGUCACUGAUGAGUUUUUUGUAGACGAAACGCGCGUCGGCGUAUAGACUAAAUCUAGUCCUGGUAUCUAUGAUGAGUUUAUUCAUAAUAUUUUGUUUAUUCUACAUUGGCAAGAGUUAUGAGGGGGGAUGUAGAGAUUUCAUAGAACAUGUUUUACCCAUCAUCAUGUUUGCGCCUAUCUCAAGCCAAGAGAUUCUGACCUUUGUCAACUUGUAUGAUUUUUUUUCUUUAGUUCUUUUAUAUAAUUGGAGUUUAGUGUGACGUCAAUUUUCACUGAACUAGUACACAUUAUUAAGGAUUCAGCUGACACCCGCCUCCGGUUAUGGAAUUCCCCCCCUGUGUUGAAGACUCAUAGGUGGCUUUUGUCUGUUUUUGGCUCUUAAGUCGGGUUGUUGUCUCUUUGACACAUUCCCCAUUUCUUUUUUCAAUUUUUAUUUAUCAUUUAAAUCUCCAAUGAAAAGCCCCUUGUACACUUAUAGAUCUAUGUUAAAAAAGUUACAUUAUCAUCAUAAAGUUUACACGUAAUUAUAUUGAUAAAGAUCUGCACACAAGAAAGUAUCUGUUUUACAGAACAAAGUUUAUAUCUAUGUUAUCGAUAUUAAAAUACCCAUUAUAAAUAAAAAAUGUACAUCAUACAAAGAAAAAACAAUAAUAUACUCUCAUAAAUUGAAACUACAUACACAAAUAAUGAAAGUAUACAUAACAUAACUAGAGGCUCUAAAGAACCUGUGUCGCUAACCUUGGUCUAUAUGCAUAAUCAGCAAAGGAUCCUCUCCAACAUUGCAGACGAGAAAGACUUCAUGACAAAAAUCCUUAUUAUGUUGACCUUGUGUUGCUGAUAAUUUUAUCCGUUUAGUUUCUCUCUACCUCCUUUAGUUUUGCUCAAGAUUCAAGAGAGGGUACAACAUCAAUCCUUAAUUAAGGGCAAUUACUCCAAUAAAGAGUGGCAGUCUACUAACUAUAUCGGCAAAAUUUGACUUGUUAGUAGAUCUUGUUUUGUUAAUCAUUUUGCUUAUGUAUGUUUUUAUCUAUCUAUUAUAAUUUGUAUCAUAUAAGGCACAACACAUAAACAAUUGGCAAAAUUCGUCAACAAAGGGCAAUAACUACAAUAAGAAGUCACUGAACGAUUUGCACCAUAUUGUACAAUGUAUUAAUUCAUUAUUGUACAUCUUGUCUGAUUAUUUUUUUCUAUUUAAACUUCUAUCUAUCAAUUAUAAUUUUUAAGAUCAAAGGCAAAACGCAAACAUUUGAUAUAACAUUGACAUCAAAGGGCCAUAACUCUUAUAAGGAGUCUACUGACAAUUUCAACCAUUAUGCUUAUUUGUAGCACAAGUCUACCUUGAUCAUUUUUGAAUUUAAAGCUUCUCUCUAUCUGUUACAGUUACAGAUAAAACGCAAAUAGGGCAAUAUCUCCUAUAAGAAAUCGUCUGACAGUUUUGACGUAUAAGACAAUAGGUAGAACUCAACAUUCUGAACAUUGCUGGCUUUGUCAAAUUUAAUAUAUUGAUAACGGUUUUCAAAAUAAUAUAGACUUGAAUUUUACCUCAUAUGUUCGUUUUGAGCCAUGUCGGCUAUCUUGGUUGGCGGGCGAGAUCACAGAACACAUUUUUUAAAAACUAGAUACAUCAUUGAUGAUUAUGGUAAAGUUGGUUAAAGUAAUUUCAGAAGAAAAGAUUUUUGUAAUAUUUCACAGACUAAAACAGGACGACGGAAACAAAGUGAUGAGAACAGCUCAUCUUCACAAUAUAAUAACACAAGUAUAUCAUGUUAGAAAUUAUCAACAUUUUAUAGCAAAGUAACAAUAUAUUAAUAUUGUUUGAUUUUUGUUUGGUUAAUGUUCAAUGGUCAUAUAAUAGAAGAAAGCAACUUCAUACAUACAAUGCGGUAACUACAUAACAUUGUAAAGGAACAACAUAAUACAUGUACUGUGUUUAAAGAAUACAUAAGUUUAUAAUAUGAAGGAACUAAAUACUGUAAUGAGCCUUUGACGUUCACCUAGGUCUAUGCAUCUUUAACAAUGGACACUUUCCAACAGUGCAGAUUAGAAUAUAAUUAUAAAGUGUAAAAGUCGUAAUUUUAAGGCCAUAACUUCUAUAAAAAGACAACAACAAAUUUCAAGUAUGCUGACCUUUAUGCACAUAUUGUUUUGCUUGUCAUGUUUGUUUUUUAAAGAUUUUAUCUAUCUUUAAUAGUUUUCAAGAUGAUAGGCAAACACUCAGAAAUUGGUAAAAAUGUUAACAAGUGCAACAGCUCAAAUAAGGAGUCUACUGACGAUUUCGACCAUGUUGCCUUAUUUGUGUUGCUUGUUAUCUAUGUUAUUGAAAAAGUCUAUCUAUCAUAAAUCACAAAAUAUUUGUCAUAAAUGGAAAAAAAACUUUAUUUGUCAAAAGCUCUAAUAAAUGAUAUACCAUUCUUGUUUUGACUGGCAAAACUACAAAGACCCCCAGUAGAAUAAUUUGUCACGUUUUGAUAGUAUAGAUAGAAUUAAUUGUAUGACAAAACCAGUGAAACUUUUGUCACGAGUAUACAAAUAUAUUAAUAUAUUAAAAAUUUUAAUCGAUUUGUUAAAUAUUGUUUUUUUCUUUUUUUUUUCUCGUCUCCGUUGAAUUUAUGUCAGUCAUAUUGAAAUUAAUCUAUUCUUCUAAUUUUAGAUCUUGAACUCCCUAACGCGUAUCUCAAAUUUAAUUUUUGCUAUAUGUGUUUUGCUUGAACACGUAUAAAUGCAACUUAUUAAAAAAAAACUACACUGUCAAAUAUGUUUGCUAGGCAAUCGGAAUAAGACGUAUUGUAUUUAUUAAUUCAUAC